rnacentral:rRNA from 1 species
UCAGACGAUGCGUCAUGCAUAUCAAUAAGCGGAGGAAAAGAAACUAACUAGGAUUCCCUCAGUAACGGCGAGUGAAGCGGGAAGAGCUCAAAUUUGAAAUCUUAAAGGGUUUCCCUUUACGAAUUGUAGUUUAAAGAAGUGUUUUCUGUUAGAGUUUCGGUAAAAGUUCUUUGGAAUAGGACGUCAUAGAGGGUGAGAAUCCCGUAUUUGACCGUUAUUUCUAGCUUUGUGAUACACUUUCAAAGAGUCGGAUUGCUUGGGAAUGCAGUCCAAAAUGGGUGGUAAAUUUCAUCUAAAGCUAAAUAUUGGCGAGAGACCGAUAGCGAACAAGUACCGUGAGGGAAAGAUGAAAAGAACUUUGAAAAGAGAGUUAAACAGUACGUGAAAUUGUCAAAAGGGAAGCGUUUGACACCAGUGUUGUUUUCUCGAAAAUCAAUUAAAAAAGGCAGGAUUUUGUGUUGUAUUGACUUUAUCAGCUUUCUGCACUCUUUUCUUGUCUUUUUUUAAUGCACUUUUCGUUUAACAAGUCAACAUCAAUUUCUUUUGUUGUAAAAGGGUCAUUGGAAGGUGGCUUUCUUUUCGGAGAAAGUGUUUAUAGCCUUUGGCCUCUGCAAUCGGAGAGAUUGAGGUCUGCAGCGUAGAUCCUUCGGGGUUAGAUACAUUUGUGCUAAGUUAUAGCCUUUCAUAGACAACUUGUUGACUAUGAUCAGUCAUGUAGCUUACUCGCUUAUGCUAUUUUACCUACGCUUAGGAUGUUGAUCUACAGAGCGAGAGU